rnacentral:tRNA from 1 species
CGGGCCGUAGCUUAACUGGAUAGAGCAUCGGUCUACUAAACUGCAAGAUGCUGGUUCGAGUCCAGCCGGCCCGGCCA